rnacentral:rRNA from 1 species
UACGAAGGGGGCUAGCGUUGUUCGGAUUUACUGGGCGUAAAGCGCGCGUAGGCGGCCGCUUAAGUCAGGGGUGAAAUCCCAGGGCUCAACCCUGGAACGGCCUUUGAUACUGGACGUCUGGAGAUCGGGAGAGGUUGGUGGAAUUCCGAGUGUAGAGGUGAAAUUCGUAGAUAUUCGGAGGAACACCAGAAGCGAAGGCGGCCAACUGGCCCGAUACUGACGCUGAGGCGCGAAAGCGUGGGGAGCAAACAGG